ensembl:lncRNA
CUCUGAUAUCACACAUCGAAUAUCGUGUAAUAUCAAGUAUCUCUCCCAAGCAAGAGCCACCUCUCAACUAUUAGGAAAAUAAUAAUAAAUUCAGGUGCUACCUGAAAAUAGAAUUUUCUAGUAUUUCCUAAUGACUUUCGUUGGGUUUACCUUGAUUGUACAGACAGCUGGAAGUUAGUUACCCAGGGUGUGUUUUAGAAUUCAUGAGAGAGACGAAAACUCCCUGUUACUUUGGAGUCUCAGAGAACAUCGUGAAUCCAAAGGGAAGACCAAGCAGAAUACAAGUCAGUCUUGGGGGAAAAAAGAAAUCUGACUUUGUGUACCAGAAGACACAUCAGUCACCUGCUUCCAUAGGGUUUUGACGACUCCCGCAAGCUCGGUCCGCGCAGUUCACUGCGUUGAGGUUUGUCCUGGUCCCGCAGGAAGGCCAAGCCUCGCCAGGUGAGCCGGCUUUCCUGAGCACGCAGGUGGUCGCUCUGAAGCCCUGAGCGUGCACCUGUGGGCUUUCCCGUGGGGACUCGGCCUGUCCUGCCCCGAGGCCAUCCGCAGAAGCCAGUGUGUCCCCCAGGGUGCGAGCCUACCUGCGUCUGGCUGCCCUCCGCCCGCUCCACACCCGGGAGAGGCCAGCGCACCCACAUGCCUGAAGAACCGCACUGCUGCCUCGUGUUCCGCUUGUUCCGCUGAGCGGCUCAGUCCAGAGACCCGCGCCGCCCUCUUGUUUAUCUAAUCAACGUGCAGCGAGCUGGGGUCAGGGCUCAGCCUCACACGGUGCCAUGCACCCGUGAGCAGUGACUGCAGGUAUUCGGAAUUCCUACCGUGCGCCCGGAGAACCCUCAUCCCAAGUACCGCAGAUUCGAAAGCGGGGGAUGGCGCUCCCCGAGGCCUAGCAGACCUCGCAGUCCUCACAGCAAACCCUUCCUCACUCUGCAUAUCAUCACGGAGCAGAGCCUUCAGGCUCUCGGUGCUGACUCUGCAAUUCCUUCUAUCAGACCGUCUUAGACGUGGACAUAGACCCGCAUGAGACAGAGCCGCCGUGGCCGUGGAAUGCAGAGAAGUGACCAGCCUACAGAAAAGUUGUAAGAGAAGCACAAGAACCUUGUAUGCCCACAGCCCUACGCACACACAGCCUCUCCAUCAGCAACAUCAGCAACAUUGUUCACCAGUGGCACGUUUUUUUACCAAAGAUGAACCUACAAUGGCACUCCAGAAUCAAAGUCCACAGUUUACCUUACAUUUCGCUCUUGGUGUUAUACAUUCUAUGAGUUUGAACAAAUACCUAAUAACAUGUGUCCAUCAUUAUAAUAUCAUACAGGAUGGUUUCAAUGCCUUAAAAAUCCUCUGUGCUCCACCAAUUCAUCCCUUUUCCUCCCAGACACCACCUCUGGCAACCACUGCUCUGUUUACUGUCUCCAUGUUUGUCUACUCCGGAACAUCACAGAGUUGGAAUCAUACAGUCUGGAGCCUCUUCAGAUGGACUUCUCUAACUUUGUGCACUUGAGGUUCCUCCACAUCUUUUCUUGACUUGAUGGCUCAUUUCUUUUUAUUGCUGAAUGAUACUCAUCAUUUGGAUGGGCCACAGUUUAUCCAUUCACCGACUAAGGAAAUUUUGGCUGCUUCCAAGUU